rnacentral:misc_RNA from 1 species
CCUCUGCCACAACACUUGGGGGACUUGGGGGAUGAUGAUGAUGUGCAGCAACUCACUGAAGCCAUUGGUGCAGCAAAAACACGAGUAGAAUGCUGCUCCUCUUUCUUAAAAGCUGCUAUUAGGUGGUCUGCAGAGUUUGGAGCUCAUAAGAAUGGAUCCCCACAACUGCAUGCUAUGCUAGCUGAAUAUCUAUUUUCUGAAUCUCCCGAGUUGGACAUGGCUAGAAUAUCAUAUCAUUUUGUUCGAGGCGAUGACCCCAAGNGUCUACUAUAGUCAAUUUUAUGGGCAAGUGUUAUCCUGGUGAAGAUGAUCUGGCAAUUGCACGGGCAGUUUUACUGUAUUUGGCUAUGGGUAAUCUGAGAGAUGCUAAUUGUUUGUUGGAUGAGAUAAAGAAACAAGUGGAAUCUAAGAAGAUUGAGCUUCCAAAAUCAGAUUUGAUGCGAUAUAUCAACUAUCUUUUGCCAACGAUGCAGAGAGAUUCUUUGCCUCUUUUUAAUAUGUUGAGAGUGAGUUACAAGUCAAGUAUAGACAAGGAACCUGUAUUUAAUGAGUUGCUUGAUGAAACUGCAGAAAAGUUCUAUGGAGUAAAACGUAGAAAUCCCCUGCAAGGGAUGUUGGGUGA